GGGCGUCUAGCUCAAAUGGUAGAGCGCGCGCUUAGCACCUCCAAUCUUCUUGGAACUGCGCGAGGUACACGGUUCGAUCCCGUGGUCGUCCA